CGUGUCGAUAAAAUACGAUUUAGAACUCUCGAUUGAUUUUUUGCACCAUUGUUAUAUAUAAUAAUUUGUAUUGCACGACUGAGAAUGAUAUUUGGCGUUGAUCUAGUUUUACACAAAAUUGUGUACAAUAGAACUAUUAUGGGCCAUUCGUGGUUCAAAGUUAAAAAGAAAUUUGAUUGCACACCGAUACAUGUAAUCGAGCAUCAACAUUAAAUAAAAUUAAUCGAU